rnacentral:rRNA from 1 species
AGUGAACGCUGGCGGUAGGCCUAACACAUGCAAGUCGAACGGCAGCACAGAGGAGCUUGCUCCUUGGGUGGCGAGUGGCGGACGGGUGAGGAAUACAUCGGAAUCUACUCUGUCGUGGGGGAUAACGUAGGGAAACUUACGCUAAUACCGCAUACGACCCACGGGUGAAAGCAGGGGACCUUCGGGCCUUGCGCGAUUGAAUGAGCCGAUGUCGGAUUAGCUAGUUGGCGGGGUAAAGGCCCACCAAGGCGACGAUCCGUAGCUGGUCUGAGAGAGUGAGCAGCCACACUGGAACUGAAAAACGGUCCAGCCUCCUACGGGGGGCGGCAGUGGGGAAUAUGGGAGAAUGGGCGCAAGCUUGAUCCAGCAAACCCGCGUAGGUGAAAAGGGCUUUGGGUUUGUAAGGCCUUUUUGUGGGAAAAGAAACCAAGCUGGCAAAUACCCGGUUGGGAUGACGGUACCCAAAAAAUAAGCCCCGGCAAACUUCGUGCAAGCGGCGGCCGCCG